AACUUUCAACAACGGAUCUCUUGGUUCUCGCAUCGAUGAAGAACGCAGCGAAAUGCGAUACGUAAUGUGAAUUGCAGAAUUCAGUGAAUCAUCGAAUCUUUGAACGCACAUUGCACUCUGUGGUAUUCCGCAGAGUAUGCCUGUUUCAGUA
rnacentral:rRNA from 1 species